UGAUAAAUGAUAGGACGUCGACGAUGAUAACAAAAAUAACGCUAAGUUUUUCUAUUAUUCGAGUACUUAGGUAGAAGAGGAGUUUCUAACAUAAUAAUAUCGUAUUCAAUAUUAGUUUGUAUUUUAUUCUAUUCCAAUUAUUGCUCAUUGUCAACUGGUAAUUUUAACAAUAAUUGUAUUAACGCAGCAUUUACUUAAAAUGUUGCGAAAAGUAUAUUCCUAUUUUAUAGGCUUUUGCAGGGAUUAACUAUAUUACUCAGUUGUAUUCUUAUUGUUCCGUUUCUUUCAUAAAAUAUAGCACAUCUAGGCAUUUAGCUCAUAGGAAUUAAGUUGAUAAUAUUUAAAUAAAAUCGUCACUUUGUAUGGUCGACCAAUAAAAGUGCAAAAGCAGACACUUUGUAUGGUCGGGUAUAAAAGUACAUUGCUGAUUGCGGAUACUUUGUACAGUUGGGUAAAAAUGUUCAAUUCUGACCGCAGACAGUUUGUACUAUUAUAUACAUAAAACAUAAGUAGUGUAAAUACAAGUUAUAUAUCUAAGUAGUAAGUAUAAAUAAUGUCAAUUAUUAAAAUGUAAAAAUUAAAAAUUAAAACAAAAAGUAAAUUAAAAGAACAAUAGUCAUAAUAAUCAGUUUUUUAACAAACUGGUUAGAUAACAGCCAAAUAUUACUUGGUGCUAUAAUAUAUUUUUAAUUAAUUUAGGAACUUGAUGACCUAAAAAUCUUGAAAUUAUCAAAAUAAUCAAACAUGAUUAUAAAUUAUAAUAAUUGUAUUACAUUAUUACCAAAUGUUAUGUUAAAAAGUAAAUUAAAAAUGUGUACAGUAUGGCGAAAUGACAAGUAAAAAUUACUUUUGAUAGGUAAUAAUUCUCUCCUAUUUUGAAUGUAUAAGAUAAUUAAAUCUACCAAAUAAUAUUUAAGCUUAAUAACAUGGUCUGUUCAUGACUUCUGACAUGUUUAUAUUAAAUAUAAUAUAUUUUAUGUAUAUUAGUAUAAAGUGUCCGUGUUCUGCAAUUUAAAGUUUUACCUGAUCGUGCAAAGUGUCCGCAUUCUGCAAUCUACCUUUUUACCUGACCGUACAAAUUGUCCGGGUUAUGCAUUUUAAACAAUCAACCGUACAAAGUGUCAUUUUACCUAAAUAUUUGUAUGCUUACAUAUUAUAACAAAAUAAUUGGUCGUUGCUAUUUGUUUCCAUUAAAUUAUUACUUCCUCUCACUGUUUCCACUGUUAAUAUUUUAAUAUUUAACUAUUUAAAAUAACUAUUUAGAUAAUUAAAAUGUUGAGAUACAGAGGAAAUAAAUUAACACUUAAUACCUAUUGUAAAAUAAUUGGAUUCAUUUCCUAAGGUUUAAGAAUAAAUUUAUGAACCAUCUGUUUAUAGUAAUGUUACACUGACAGUUAGGAUUAUGGUUAUUGAUUUCUGAAAUACAAUAUGUUUUACAAGAACAUUAUAUAUACAGAUUUGUACCAGACACGGACUAUGAAUCUAAACUUCCAAUUAACAUAGAUAUUACUGUUACAUCAACUUGUGAUAGUUAGGUUAGGUUUGCUGAUAUUGUUGAUACAACAGGACAAAAUAUGAUGUUAUUUGGAGAAUUAAAAACUGAUGAUACUUGGUGGGAAAUGACAAAAGAAUUGACACAACAUUUCGAAAAAAUGCGUGUAUUCAAUGCAUAUUUAAGAGAAGAAUAUAAUUCAAUGAAUGACAUAUUAUGGAUUUUUGAUAAUUAUAAUACAUUAAAAAAUAAAAUAUCUGUUAAUAGGUACUACAGGAAAUCUAUUUGUUUGCUUCAAACUUGCUUCAAGCUUCUGGAAUUAGAUGAUCAUAUUCAAACAGUUGUCCGUGAUAUUGGAAAACAUGGGAUGGAUAUAGAAUAUGAGUUGAGUAUGGAAAUUGGAAGCCCUGUGCAUGGACUAUUGAUCGAUUCUUAGCUUUCCGAAGAACUGUAUUCCUUAUAUUGGCGUGCAAAAAUUAUUUCUGAAGCUUCCUUCUUUAUACGCAAUAGAGAAUGUCAAAUGAAUAUACAAUAUAAAUCUCAUUAAAAAAAAAUUAUUCUUUAUAUGCAUAAAUUUAACGACUAUUUCAAUUGUCUUGAUAGUGCUGGAGGACAAUGUGCCAUAGACUAAUCAAAAGUGAAACUAGACAAGACAUCUUCGGGUAAGAUUUGUGUGUCCAUGUAUUACAACAAAACUGCAUGCAUCAGGAUGAAGUUGAAGUAUCGUAGUCUUGACGGUUAUUGUAAUAACUUGAAACGUUCCUCCUCGGGAAAAGCAUCCACGGCUCUAUAAACGUUUGCUCUUAAUAACUAUAUGGAUAGUUUUAAUGAAGUUUUCGAAGAUUCUUUUUCGUCUUACAAACCAAGUCCUAGAAAGCUGAGGGUUGAAUUUGUCAAAGACGAGCACUCACCAGAUUACUUCAAAACUAUGGCUAUGGCGUACUGGACGAUUUUUGUAGGCCAUGAUCAAUCUCACACGGAAAUUUCUAGAAUGAUGAAUAGUAAUAAGUCCUUGAGCUGUUGUUCAAAUAGCCGGAAGGAGCUCAUGCCUCGAGACAUACACCUCGAGUUGUGCUUGCAAGUAGUGAUACCGGGUAAAGAUCCAUUUUUCAGAAACCAUAUUCGUUUUAUGAACUACGGUCGUUCGGUGCCAGCUGUGUGUUCCGAUUGUACUUUUGACCCAAGGAACAAAAUACAACACAACCUUGUACUGUAAUAAGCUUCCAAACCAAUAAAAACAAUUGAUAAAAAAUUCUAAAAAAAAAUGUUGGAUUCAAAUACCAAAGUAUACUGAAGCAUGUAAUAUACUAGUAAUUGAACAAAUUGUCUUCAUUAAAUGUUUAUGAAGUGCAGUUCUUAGCCCUAAUACUAAACUCAAUAAAUGUGUUGUAAUGGACAUUAAUGUUAUGGAAUACCUAUAAAUACCAACAUGUUCCUACACAUCUCAAAUAAAAAUUUAUAUACGGAAGGCCGAAUGAUCAACGCAAGUCUUUCACUAAAGGAACAUUACAACCGACCAACUGCAGGUUUACUAUUAAAUUACAUGGAUCAGCUUGUCAGAGGGCUAUCUACGCAGAAUACACAAAAAAUUGAUAUGCUAUUUACUAAAACGCUUACAAAUUACUUAUACAGUGUUUAUCCAAACCACGCGUUUGGAAUGGACAUCGUUAUUAUUAGAGAACAGUUUAUAAGAACUAGAAUGGCAGAUAGAUAUUUUUACGAUUUACCAAAUAUAUUCAAUGAAUAUCAACUGACAGGAAUCAGAAAAGUGACGCUUGCCAGAAUCUUUUGUGAUAACAGCAUUAAUGUCAGAAUGAUGCAGAAAAAAGUAUUUUUGAUACCUGCAAUGGCUGAUUUGCAACUCUGUAAUUCCCAAUUAAUUCCAAAAGUCAACAUCAAUCACUGGUCAGAGAUGGUCGAUACAUUUCAAAAAUAACUUUAAAUUUAAUAAUCAAUAAUCAGUGGAAGUAUCUUCACUGGAUGGUUUGUUCCCUCAAGUAACUCAAGCCAUUGCGUUUAAUUUUAUUUAAAAAACCUACAUUAGGCUUAUUGUACUUUUUUUUAGUAUAGAUUGUGUAAGUUAUAGAUUAAAAAAAAUAAUCAAUAAUCAGCCUUUAAUCUAACCUUAUUUUCAUUUUACCUAUAUAUCUUGUUUAUAAUAAAUAUUCUUAAAUUAAUUAUGAGUCUAUAAUUUGCUAUGUUACACACUUGUAAGACGGAGACAACAAAUUUCACUGUAAUGACCCAUUAAGGCCAAUAAAAAAAAAAAUUAUUUUUGUCUGGCGCAGAAAAAUUAUAGUCAGACCAAAAUACAAUCUUGAUAAAUUUUAGGUAUGCAUACUCCGCAACAUCUUAAAUGACGGCUCUGCUUUGGCCCGAAUACUGGUUUUUAUGUUUUGUAUGAAUAAAUAUUAGCUCAACAAUAUUUAAUUUUUAAACAUAAUUAAAAAUUGAAUAAAUCUUAAAA